rnacentral:rRNA from 1 species
ACAUGCAAGUCGAACGGUAACAGGUUCUUUUCGGAGAAUGCUGACGAGUGGCGAACGGGUGAGUAAUACGUAGGAAUCUACCUAAGAGAAGGGGAUAGUUAGUGGAAACACUAAGUAAUACCCUAUACUUCCUAAGGGAAAAAUGCAGGGGACUUUUUUAAAGCCUUGCGCUUUUAGAUGAGCUUACGGCGGAUUAAUUAGUUGGUAAGGUAAAGGCUUACCAAGAUGACGAUCCGUAGCUGGUCUGAGAGGAUGAUCAGCCACACUGGGAUUGAGAUACGGCCCAGACUCC